rnacentral:rRNA from 1 species
UACGUAGGGGGCAAGCGUUGUCCGGAAUUAUUUGGGCGUAAAGAGCGUGUAGGCGGUCCGGUAAGUCAGCUGUGAAAGUCAAGGGCUCAACCCUUUGAAAGCCGGUUUGAUACUGUCGGGCUAGAGUCCGGAAGAGGCGAGUGGAAUUUCCCGGUGUAGCGGUGAAAUGCGCAGAUAUCGGGAGGAACACCAAUGGCGAAGGCAGCUCGCUGGGACGGUACUGACGCUGAGACGCGAAAGCGUGGGGAGCAAACAGG